AACGAACGCUGGCGGCAGGCCUAACACAUGCAAGUCGAACGGGACCUUCGGGUCUAGUGGCGGACGGGUGAGUAACGCGUGGGAACGUGCCCUUUGGUUCGGAAUAGCCCCGGGAAACUGGGAGUAAUACCGGAUGUGCUCGAGAGAGGAAAGAUUUAUCGCCAAAGGAUCGGCCCGCGUUGGAUUAGGUAGUUGGUGAGGUAAUGGCACACCAAGCCGACGAUCCAUAGCUGGUUUGAGAGGAUGAUCAGCCACACUGGGACUGAGACACGGCACAGACUCCUACGGGAGGCAGCAGUGGGGAAUCUUAGACAAUGGGGGAAACCCUGAUCUAGCCAUGCCGCGUGAUCGAUGAAGGCCUUAGGGUUGUAAAGAUCUUUCAGUGGGGAAGAUAAUGACUGUACCCACAGAAGAAGCCCCGGCUAACUCCGUGCCAGCCGCCGCCGUAAAAC
rnacentral:rRNA from 1 species